CGCUGGCGGCAUGCCUAACACAUGCAAGUCGAACGAGACCUUCGGGUCUAGUGGCGCACGGGUGCGUAACACGUGGGAAUUUGCCUCGGGGUAUGGAAUAACUCAGGGAAACUUGAGCUAAUACCAUAUAAUGUCUUCGGACCAAAGAUUUAUCGCCCUGAGAUAAGCCCGCGUAGGAUUAGCUAGUUGGUGGGGUAAAGGCUCACCAAGGCGACGAUCCUUAGCUGGUCUGAGAGGAUGAUCAGCCACACUGGGACUGAGACACGGCCCAGACUCCUACGGGAGGCAGCAGUGGGGAAUAUUGGACAAUGGGCGAAAGCCUGAUCCAGCAAUGCCGCGUGAGUGAUGAAGGCCUUCGGGUUGUAAAGCUCUUUUACUCGGGACGAUAAUGACGGAACCGAGAGAAUAAGCCCCGGCUAACUCCGUG
rnacentral:rRNA from 1 species